GUCCAGAUGGCACAGUGGACAGUGCAUCUGCCUAGUAAGCAGAAGGCCCAUGUUCAAAUCCUGGUCUGGCACA